rnacentral:rRNA from 1 species
GUAAGGAAUAUUGGACAAUGGACGCAAGUCUGAUCCAGCCAUGCCGCGUGAAGGAUUAAGGUCCUCUGGAUUGUAAACUUCUUUUAUAAGGGACGAAAAAAGGCUUUUCUAAGUCGUCUGACGGUACCUUAUGAAUAAGCACCGGCUAACUCCGUGCCAGCCGCCGCGGUAAUACGGAGGGUGCAAGCGUUAUCCGGAUUCACUGGGUUUAAAGGGUGCGUAGGCGGGCAGGUAAGUCAGUGGUGAAAGCCUAGAGCUUAACUCUAGAACUGCCAUUGAUACUAUCUGUCUUGAAGAUUGUGGAGGUAAGCGGAAUAUGUCAUGUAGCGGUGAAAUGCUUAGAUAUGACAUAGAACACCUAUUGCGAAGGCAGCUUACUACGCAUAUAUUGACGCUGAGGCACGAAAGCGUGGGGAUCAAACAGGAUUAGAAACCCGGGUAGUCC